CGGCCCAAUGUUCCAUUGGUCGAACCUGUGCUGCCUCGUGAGGAGGAGUUGGAUGAGGGAGACUUGUUUGUUUUGGUGUCAGAAGCACCACAGGUUAUUAGUAGGCAAGCAUCUCAAGAGAUUCCUCCCCCCCCUGUCCCUCAGGAUGCUGGUGAGGCUCAGGGAGCAGAAGAUAUUACAGAGAUGAUAGCUGAUUUGCAGCCUGUAAGGAACCCUCCAUUAGGUUCAGUGGUGAUGGGUGAGAGUGUAGUGCGUAGGACGGGACGGAGUACGGCUGGGCAGCAUUCUAAUGUACAUCAUCUGCCACGGUCACUUGGUGUAGGCAUAGUGUCCAGUAUAGUUGGUAGUGCAGCGGAGGUAUGGUUUCGUCCUUGGGAUUGAAGGGCCUAGAGGGCAUGUUUUUUUUUUUUUUUUUUAUUAGUUCACCGUCGGGGCGACGGUACAGAAGGUGGGGGUGGAUUGUGACCGAUCGUAUUGGAUAAGUGAUGGUGACUGACAUUUGUAACAGCCAAUCAGCAGUAAGUGUGACCUAUUUUAGAGCAGGUUGGCUUUGUUGGGUCAUGCGUCACCUCCGGCCCCGCCUUUUUGGUUUUUUGUUAUGUUGACUUGUGUUUUAGGUAUGUGUUAGCAGUUAGCUCUUCGUUUGUCUCUUUUAUAAUGUUGUGGACUAAUCGUUUGUUAUUUCAUUCUAGCCUGUCUUUUCCUUUGUUUUCUGUCGAUGGCCAUGAGUUUAAUGACUGCUGUUUAUUCAGCUUGUUAUUGGUAUUACUGAGGAUGCCGAAUCCCAAUUUGUGAAUGCGUGCGAGCAUACUUUUUCCGGUUUGGAGCUGGGGUUCCACGGGUGCAGGAGCUUGAGGUGGUGGUGUCACUUCAUCAUUUGCUGUGGACACGUUUGUGUGUGUCGUGUGUGUGUGUGUGGAGGUGUAAGUGUGCUUUUGGCUAAAUUCAGCACUGGUGAUCACUCCCGUGGGUGACCUCAGCCCUUUACCAUUGGAGAGUGCUGCCGGCAGUAGGUGAUGAGGAUUCAAUGUGACUUUUAAAUGGAGCUGGGGUUCCACGGGUGCAGGAGCUUGAGGUGGUGGUGUCACUUCAUCAUUUGCUGUGGACACGUUUGUGUGUGCAGUGAGUGUGUCGGGGUGUGUGUGUGUGUGUGGAGGUGUAAGUGUGCUUUUGGCUAAAUUCAGCACUGGUGAUCACUCCCGUGGGUGACCUCAGCCCUUUACCAUUGGAGAGUGCUGCCGGCAGUAGGUGAUGAGGAUUCAAUGUGACUUUUAAAUGGUGAAACAAUUGUGAAAAUAAAUUUUGUACUUUCAUGCUUUA